GCCAACAUUGAAACUCUGGUUCCCCGUAUGAUCACUGAAGUUAAGCAAUGUCGAGCCAGGUCAGUAUGUAGAUAGUUGACUACUUGGGAAUACCAUGUACUGUAAG